AAAUUUGUGGCCAGUUCUCGUGUAACCAUUUGCUUUCCUAUCGGAGUAUGGAAUUACAAACUGAUAUUUCCAUCAACUCCUUGGGAUUGAUUUUGGCAGUCGUGAUAUAGUGAAUGCAAUGAGAUCAGUCACCAGUCAAGCAUCCUAUCAUCCUCUGUUCUAUUUGCUUGUGUGGAAAUGCAUGAUGGAGAGAGGAAGCAGCAUUGUAUCCCGGGUUAUCAUGCCGGUGCUAUCGUCACUUCUGCAACAUUACAACAAUAAAUCAAAGCUAUAGCAAGGUCUCGAAGGAAGAAAGUUCAAUCCGCAGACGCUGAAAAGCCUAAAGCAGGUGAAUCGCCUCAAGAGGCAGUUCCUGAUGGCGAAGCAGAUGAGCUGACUUGCAAAGAGACUGCUUUGGUCCGUGACAAGUGACGGUCAACAAACAGCCACUCUCUCACUACAAAAGAUUUGGAAUCUGGUGAAGAAUAUUCAGACGAAGUGUAGAUGGAAUGUAAACCAAACGAUUGGGAAAAUAAAUGAUUAUAUAAAGUC